rnacentral:rRNA from 1 species
UACAGAGGUCUCAAGCGUUGUUCGGAUUUACUGGGCGUAAAGGGCGCGUAGGCGGUCAGUGCAAGUCAGUUGUGAAAUCUCCGGGCUUAACCCGGAAAGGUCAACUGAUACUGCUCGACUAGAGUGCGGAAGGGGCAACUGGAAUUCUCGGUGUAGCGGUGAAAUGCGUAGAUAUCGAGAGGAACACCUGCGGCGAAGGCGGGUUGCUGGGCCGACACUGACGCUGAAGCGCGAAAGCCAGGGGAGCGAACGGG